UGGGAAGUUCAGGGAGUUCGGAGGCCUUGACCCAGCACUAUGUAGAGAUGACUGAAAUCACAUAUGCUCUCCUUGCAACUAUUUGCCGAGCUUUGAGAUGGAAACACCAGACUGUCAUGAUUUGCUGGAACAGACUAUGUGGGAAUCAGUCGUAAUUUAGAUUUUGCACCUGGAGUCAACAUGCAGACUGUUCGUGUUACCAUUCUGGAUGAUCUUGGACAACCAGUGCUGGAAGGAAUUGAGAAAUUUGAACUGGUGCUUCGUAUGACAAUGAAUGCUGCCCUCGGCGAGCCCUGCAAAGCCACAGUGUCCAUAAAUGAUUCCAUCUCAGAUUUGCCUAAGAUGCAAUUCAAAGAACGAGUAUAUAUUGGAAAUGAAAAUGAUGGGCAGAUAGUUGCAGUGAUCCACAGGAGUGGAGAUAUCCAGUACAGGUCUUCAGUGAGA